GACGAACGCUGGCGGCGUGCUUAACACAUGCAAGUUGAGCGGGCAGGUAUGGAAGCUUGCUGAAGUAUCUGUUAGUAGCGGACGGGUGAGUAAUGCAUGAGAAGCUGCCAUUGGGAGGGGGACAACAGUUGGAAACGGCUGCUAAUACCCCAUAUGCCGGAAGGUGAAACGGAGUGAUCCGCCCGAUGAGGUGCUCAUGUCCUAUCAGCUAGUUGGUGAGGUAACGGCUCACCAAGGCGACGACGGGUAGCCGGCCUGAGAGGGUGACCGGCCACACUGGAACUGAGAUACGGUCCAGCCUCCUACGGGAGGCAGCAGUGGGGAAUAUUGGGCAAUGGGGGCAACCCUGACCCAGCGACGCCGCGUGAGGGAAGACGGCCUUCGGGUUGUAAACCUCUUUUGUACGGGAAGAAGGACGUGACGGUACCGUGCGAAUAAGUCCCGGCUAACUAUGUGCCAGCCGCCGCCGUAA
rnacentral:rRNA from 1 species